rnacentral:rRNA from 1 species
UAACCUGCUAAAUAGAGAUGCGAACCUGUGUUCGUAAGCUCUUCUUAGAGGGACUGACUACGUUUAGUGGUCGGAAGUUUGAGGCAAUAACAGGUCUGUGAUGCCCUUAGAUGUUCUGGGCUGCACGCGCGCUACACUGACAGAGGCAACGAGUAUACAACCUUGACCGGAAGGUCUGGGCAAUCUUUUUAAACUCUGUCGUGCUGGGGAUAGAGCAUUGCAAUUAUUGCUCUUCAACGAGGAAUUCCUAGUAAGCGCAUGUCAUCAGCAUGCGUUGAUUACGUCCCUGCCCUUUGUACACACCGCCCGUCGCU